UACAGAGGUCCCAAGCGUUGUUCGGAUUCAUUGGGCGUAAAGGGUGUGUAGGUGGCGCCGUAAGUCGGGUGUGAAAUCUCGGGGCUUAACUCCGAAACUGCAUUCGAUACUGCGGUGCUUGAGGACUGGAGAGGAGACUGGAAUUCAUGGUGUGGCAGUGAAAUGCGUAGAGAUCAUGAGGAAGACCAGUGGCGAAGGCGGGUCUCUGGACAGUUCCUGACGCUGAGGCACGAAGGCCAGGGGAGCAAACGGG
rnacentral:rRNA from 1 species